ACAUCUGGGUCCAGGAGGAGGUCAGCUGUCUGGAAGCACUUCUACUUGACAUCCCUCGAUAGCUCCAAGGCCGUCUGUGUCCACUGUAUGAAUGAGUUCAGUAGAGGGAAGAACGGGAAGGACCUGGCACAAGCUGCCUCAUCAGGCACAUGUGGAGAGCACAUUGCUCCAUUGUACUGCAGGAGAACGGAGGCAACACAGGCAUCCCACUAUUGUACCCUAUGCCCCCAACCCUGCUGCCUGCCCUGCUGCCCCCAGAAAGAGAUCUCAACUCCGCAUCGUUGUCUCCAGGCAAACAAGUCAAAGAAUCCCUUUCUGCCUCCUCAUCCCCAGACAGGCUUCCUGAGUACCUUUCAUCACACACUAAUCCUGGGGAUGUGUCCCGGGAAGAUGUGUCCAUCUUGUCAUCCUCUGAUGACUUGGGGCAGGCCUCUGUAGUGUCCUCUCCAGAGAAGCAGCCAGCAGACACGGUAAAUCCAAGGUUUGAAUCAGGCACUGUCUUCCAGCAAAAUAAGAUGGUGAUGAGAAGCCUAAAGUCAGAAGUCUGGCAUCACUUUUCCCUGGCCCCCAUGGACAGUCUCAAAGCAGUGUGCCGGUAGUGUAGCUGCGUUAUUAGUCGGGGAAAGAAGGGAGAUGUUGGCACCAGUUGUUUGAUGCGACACCUGUACAGAUGCCACCCUGAGGUGGUUGGGAAUCAGAAGGACUUUCUGGGUACAAGUUUGGCAAACUUCUCCAUAUGUCACUUUGGCUUCGCAGAAAGCUCCUCCAAGUUAACUGACUUGCCAGCAAUGGUCAGGAAAAACCAUCAAGGUGUGUUUCCUACUAAUAGCAAGAAGACUUCCAAGCUGUGGAAUCACUUUUCUAUUUGUUCAGCAGACUCAACAAAAGUGGUGUGCCUGCACUGUGACCAUCAGCAGGGGAAAGAAGUCUACCAACCUGGACACUAACUGUCUCCCAAGACAUCUGCAGCAGUUCCAUGGUCAUGUACUCAAGAAUGACGUCUUAGAGGCCACUCUGCCCCGUUCUCCAGGCAUCCGGAGGCCUCUAGGCACAGAGCUCUCAGGGCCUUCCUCUUUCCGUGACUCCACAGAGAAGUUCUAUGACUCUCAUCCAGUUGCCAAAAAAAAAAAAAAAAAAUCACAAGUCUCAUAGCUGAAAUGAUUGCACUUGACCUUCAGCCAUACUCCCUUGUAGACAAUGUUGGCUUUAACAGGCUGCUUGAAUACUUGAAACCUCAGUACUCUUUACCCUCCCCUUCCUACUUCUCUAGAACAGCUAUCCCAGGUAUGUAUGACAGUGUGAAACAGAUAAUUAUGUCACAUCUGAAGGAAGCUGGGAGUGGUGUGGUUCACUUCACCUCUGGAAUAUGGAUGAGUAGCCAGACUCGUAAAUACCUGACCCUUACAGUUCACUGGGUCACCUUCACAUCCGCUGUCUGACCACAUUGUGAGGACCACCAUUGCUCAGCACUUUUAGAUGUGUCACAGGUCGACUGUGACUAUAGUGGAAAUAGCAUUCAGAAGCAGCUGGAGUGUUGGUGGGAAGCCUGGGUGACUUCCAUUGGCCUUCAGAUUGGCAUCACUGUCACUGACAAUCCAAGCAUAGGGAAGAUGCUGAGUGAGGGUGAAUACUCAAGUGUGCAGUGCUUCAGUCACACAGUGAAUCUGAUUGUGAGCGAGGCUAUCAAGAGCCAGAGGAUGGUGCAGAACUUACUGAGUAUUGCCCGGAAGCUGUGUGAGCGGGUCCAUCAGUCACCCAGAGCAAGAGAGAAGUUAGCAGAACUGCAGAAAGAGUACGAGCUGCCACAGCACCAGCUGAUCCCGGAUGUACCGUCUAAGUGGAGCACAUUGUUCCACAUGCUUGAACAUCUGAUUGAGCAGAAGAGGGCAGUUAAUGAGGUAUCCAUUGAGUGUAACUUCAGAGAAUUGAUCAGCUGUGACCAGUGGGAGGUCAUGCAGUCUGUGUGCCAUGUGCUGAGACCAUUUGAUGCUGCAAGCCGAGAGAUGAGUGCCCACAUGUCUACAAUGAGCCAGGUCAUCCCCAUGAUCCAUACCCUCAGCAGAAAAGUGGAGAUGCUGUUUGGGGAGACCAUGGGCAUUGACACCAUGCUUAAGUCCCUGAAGAAAGCCAUGGCAAGCUGCCUGUCUGCCACCCUCCAUGACCCCAGGUACAUCUUUGCCACACUGCUGGACCCUCACUACAAAGCUUCCCUGUUCACAGAGGAGGAGGCAGAGCAGUACAGGCAAGACUUAAUCAGGGAGCUAGAAAUACUGAAUUCUACCUCAGAGGACACUGCCACCUCCAAUGGCUGUGACUCAGGGUCCCUACUUAAAGACACUGGCACUGAUAAAGAGAGAUCAGAGAGAGAAGCUACCUGAAGACAUGGUGCUUGCGUAUUUGGAGGAAGAGGUGCUGGAACACAGUUGUGACCCAUUUACCUACUGGAACCUAAAGUGGUCAUUGUGGCAUGGGCUGUCUACCUUAGCAGUCCAAUUUCUGGGCUGCCCCCCAAGUACAGUCCCCUCAGAAAAGCUGUUCAGCACACCCAUGGAUGCUGGCAGCUUUGGCCAGCCCAGGCUCAUGAUGGAGCAUUUUGAAAAGCUCAUCUUUUUUAAAGUGGCUCUUCCUUUAAUAUGCUUUCAGUAUUGAACUCAGCGAUGGAGCCACCAGACUGGAAACAUGCUUCAGAGUGCUAGCUACUGUACCAGGGCUGACUUGCCUGGCAGGGCCAUGUCGGACACCAGACCAGGCAUCUGGGGCUACCUGCCAGUUCUCACCAUAAUAUCCACAUGUGCCUUACUCCUCCUUCAGGCCAGGUGUCAAGGUGCAUUUUCAGAAGCCCACUAAAAACAAAGUCUUGGCAAUCAGGAUGAUCAAGUUUAAAACUAUAAAGGUUUUUUUGUUUUGUUUUGAGGGGAUAGUAAUCUGUUUUACUAGAAUGAAAGGAAGAUGUAAACAAAUUUAUUAUGUGGGGUUUUUAUUCAGUUGUGUAAAAACCACAAAUCAGGUGCUGUAUUUUAAUUAAAUAUUUUAAUUGCAACAAAACAGCUUUUGUGGCUGUUAAAUGAAACCUGUAAAUAGGAGGUGGGGAUUAAGCCAUCCUGACUGAACAGUUCUUAACCACAGGCUCCAAAAGUAUGUCCUAGAGAGAAUAUUCUGGAAGCUGUUUACAGAACCAGGCAUUUGAAAACAAAACUGAACUUGGGCAUAUCAUGGAGUGUCAAUCACAUGGCUAAUUGGUCAUGAGAACGUUCCCAUGUCAGGUGUUGCAUUCAGGUUUUACACGGUCAGUUAACUCAGAGAUAUCCUGCUUAUCAUGAGCCCCUUGAAAUUGGAUCCAAGUUUUAAAGUCAUGCUUAGGACUUCACCAGAGCAUGAUAUGACACGUUUACAACAGAUGGCCUGCU